UGCCAGACUCCUACGGGAGGCAGCAGUGGGGAAUAUUGCACAAUGGGGGGAACCCUGAUGCAGCGACGCCGCGUGAGCGAUGAAGUAUUUCGGUAUGUAAAGCUCUAUCAGCAGGGAAGAAAAUGACGGUACCUGACUAAGAAGCCCCGGCUAACUACGUGCCAGCAGCCGCGGUAAUACGUAGGGGGCAAGCGUUAUCCGGAUUUACUGGGUGUAAAGGGAGCGUAGACGGCUGUGCAAGUCUGGAGUGAAAGGCAUGGGCUCAACCUGUGGACUGCUUUGGAAACUGUACGGCUGGAGUGCAGGAGAGGUAAGUGGAAUUCCUAGUGUAGCGGUGAAAUGCGUAGAUAUUAGGAAGAACACCAGUGGCGAAGGCGGCUUACUGGACUGUAACUGACGUUGAGGCUCGAAAGCGUGGGGAGCAAACAGGAUUAGAUACCCGUGUAC
rnacentral:rRNA from 1 species